ACAGUCAUGGAUUGAUUAGGCCCUGUACACAGAUCUCUGAAUCACGCUGAGAUAACUAUUACAUAAGUUGGUUUUCAAUGGAAAAAAAAAAAAUCACCAGAAAUCUGUCAUGGUUCUUCAGCUAACAAAAAACAAAACAAAAACAAACAAAACACCAACACACAAACAAACAAAAACCCCCACACAAAAACCCCACCCCUAAAAACCAAAAAACUCAAAUCCAAAACCCCUCUCCAAAACAAAUCUCACAAAAAACCCAACCAGCCAAACAAAACAAAACAAAAAUGGAUGGAAGGCACUACGGCAAAGUCUCAUUAGUUACCGAUGGUUGCUGAAGAGCUUUUAUGAUAAGAAAUGAGACCAAGGAAAGAGUCAUAACAAAAACAAAGAGCUGUUUGGGAAAAUAUUUCUCAUGAAUGCAUGAAAUUCAGUAUAAUGAGCAAAGAGACAAAUACAAAACAUUGACAACUUCCCAUUACAUGCAAGAGAUGAAAACGCAAAUGUCUCUACAGACAGCAACAAAGAACAUUUUAUCACAGUCUGCUUUUGGAUAUGAAUGGCCACAAAAUGAUUGCAUAAGGGACUCCACAAUUUACACCAGUGAUGGCAUAACUGACUUACUAAUAGGAUAAAAGGAAUCUGCUUUCACACAUCCAAAUAACAAGCAAAACCUUCAACAAAAUUACUACCUUUCUAACUGCAUCUGUUUCCUACUGGUGACCAACACAGCAACAGGUCUGUUACUUGAGUAAUUUGUUCAUGCUUGGUUGAGCGGAAGACGCAAACAGGAGAGGGAAAAUGCAGAGAUCUGGUAAAUUCCAGUUACUGCUUAGCAUCGAACAUCGCUGCUCCAAUUCUGAUUCCACAUCUUCAGGUUUUACAAAAGGCUGUCCAAGAAUCUUUCACAGAAACAACACAUGGAACAUAACUUUAGAUGUGUUAGCAGAUAAAUUAGCCCAUAUUCACAGGACAGCUUCAAGGGUAUGAGGCAGCAAAAGCCUGUGACUGGACUUUUCACCUAACAACCAAACUGAGAAGCUGCUAGAAUGCCACAUGUCAGUGAACAGAACUGCUGCUGCCAUCACAAACUCCAAUGUCAGAAACCACAGAACUUUUACCACCCCAUCCUGGUCUCCAGUGGAGAGGGCAUCUCUGGACCUGCUGGGAAGAUAGAGACGGGAAGCACAGUACAAGAGACGUUUUUCAUGACAAGACAAAUCCUCUACCCAAACUACCUUGAAGAAUCAACAAUUAGCAGGCAGCUUGGUGCUCCCAGCACAUACUUGGGAUGCCAGGCUAAACCACAUAAGCCUUCUGGCCAAGCACAGCAGGUCAAAAUUAGCAGGCAGCCUACACUGCCAGGGGCAGAGGCUGAGACAACCUCAAGGCAGGAAGAUCAGUGUACAGGUGCUGAACAGAACAGUUUCGCCUCCUAAGUGAGUAGCUCAAUUGCACUUGCUCAACUAACUGGCAACCACCAUCAUCUUUUCCUGAUGUACAUGUGACCUCAUUUUUGGUAUAAUUUAUGCAGCUGUUAUUGUCUCUGUGUAUUUUAAUAUAUGAAAAUAUAGACAGAGGUUUAUAUAAAAAUAUACAUUAAAAAUGACAAAGUUUUUUAAAAAAAAUAUGGAGACAAAUAAAACCAGUAUUUCUUUUCACAGGGUUACUGAGUUGCACUUUUCUUGGGGUUUUUUUUUAAUAAUAAGCGUUAUUCAUUUGCAACCUCUUAAUUUACAGAAACAUUUCUGCAUUUGUAUCAUCACAGCUGAAGAGGCACAGUGUUAGAUGCCAGAAUGAGAGUUGAUAAUACUUCUGCUUUCCUUUAUAAUCCCAUGAAAAUUCACAUAGAAAUUUAUAGCAAACUUUCACUGAAUUGGUAUGAGAAAAUUAACAAUGUAGAUUCUGACAUCCUUGGGUGACAUUCUGGAGAGUGACCGUACUUUGAUGAGGACAAUCAUUCUUCAGAUCUCCACCCUCCUUCCUUUCACAUACGUGUAAUUACUGAUACACAAAAAAUGCUGACAACAAAAUCUGCAAACAGAGCAGUUACUAAAGUUGCUUCAGAAGCAUUAGACAAAAUCCAACACAAUAUCCUAUGGCCUUCUUUCCGUACAACUUACUGUCUUACAUCAAGUGUCCUUGUGUAUCUAUUAUGUUCUGUGCAUAAUUAUUAGUUGAAGCAGUCAUGGUUCCUCAAACCAAAUCACAUUUAAUUUUAAGACUAACAUAUGUUGGAUAAGACCUUUAAGAUCAUCGAAUCCAACCACACACCUAACAAUGUCAAGUCCAUCACUAAACCAUAUCCCUGACUUAAUUAAGCCAUUCGCUUUCAGAGUUUUCCUUUAGGCAAUAAAGAAACAAAUAGAGUACUUGGUCAAAAAAACCAUCUCUCUUCAAAACAAAGCACCACUCUUUCCUUUUUAAGAUUUUUUUUUCUUCUGGUCUGCUCUGCUGUCAUUAGGAUUCAGCCAUUCAAAAGCUUAUUAACACCAAUGUGUGCAUUAAUCUAAUGGGGGAAAGUUCUCUGGAAAUGCAAAUGUCUAUUACUAAUUUUUGUUUACAUAAUACUGUAGACAGAAGUACUUUAUUUUAAGUAACAUACCUAUCAAAUGAGAACCUCCAGAUUUGUGGGAAGUCGUUACUCUUUCCUUAGAGAUAUAUUUCUAGUACUGAAGUAAGCUGGCCAAACACAGGAUGUAUUUAAUGUUUAC